rnacentral:pre_miRNA from 1 species
UCAUCUGGGAAUCUUGUUAAAAUGCAGUUUUACAUCUUUGCUGAAGCCUGAGAUUUUGCAUUUCUAACAAGCUCCCAACAGUUCCG